rnacentral:rRNA from 11 species
UGAUUCAUGACUGGGGUGAAGUCGUAACAAGGUAACCGUAGGGGAACCUGCGGUUGGAUCACCUCCUUA